rnacentral:rRNA from 1 species
GAUCCUGGCUCAGAGCGAACGCUGGCGGCAGGCCUAACACAUGCAAGUCGAACGGAUCCUUCGGGAUUAGUGGCGGACGGGUGAGUAACACGUGGGAACGUGCCCUUUGGUUCGGAACAACUCAGGGAAACUUGAGCUAAUACCGGAUGUGCCCUUCGGGGAAAGGAUUUAUCGCCAUUGGAGCGGCCCGCGUCUGAUUAGCUAGUUGGUGGGGUAAAGGCCCACCAAGGCGACGAUCAGUAGCUGGUCUGAGAGGA